CAGGGAAGACAGAGAAUGGAGCCACCUGCUUCUCCCUGCUGCCCACGCGAGGAGCAGCUCUGCUGAGCUCACAGCCUCCUGGAGAGGAGGGGCCCCGCGUGCUUCAGUAACGGGGUCCAUCACCGGAACCUGGUCUGGCCAGCCUUCCCUAGGGAUCCAUUUCCUGAGGGCUGGAUUACAGACGGAGCCAGCUCUGGAGAUCCAGACUCAGCAAGUGCUCUAGCAACUGAACCAUCCCCAAGCUCCUAACCUUACGUAAGGAUGAGCCUUGGGGUGAGAAGAAUUAUGGGAAGAGAUGGAAACUGGCAGAUUCCCUCCUGACCCUCUCCAUCCCCAAAAGUGACACUUAAGGAGCAUGAUAACGCCACCAACCUGGAGGAAGCUUUGCCCCUUUGGGAAUGUGGGUCAUGCAUGGGUAGGGGGUGGGGGUGCAGGGAGGGGACUAACUGGGCAAAAUGCGGCAAGAUCAGUGGUAUGAUCAAUGGAAUCUUCAAAAAGUGGGAUCUCUGUGGCUGGAGCCGUACCUCCAUUGGUAGAGCGCUUCCCCAGUAUGUGCAAAGCCGUGGGUUGGAGCCACAGCACCACAUAAACCAGGCACGGUGCACAUGUGUAUAAUCCCACACGCGACAGGGAGAGUGAGACAAGAGGAUAGUUUGUUCAGGGCCAUCCUUGGCUACAUAAUGAAUUCAGGGCCAUCCUGGAACACAGGAGAUCGUCUUUUUUUUUUUUUUUUUUUAAGUGUUACUUCUAAUGAGACUCUCUAGGGACAGAGUCCCCACCAGAAUCCUGGAACUUGGGAGAACAAGACUGUACCAAAUGCUCAGAGGGAGUCUCCCUUUGCUUUUCACACUCUCACCUCCAGCAACUGCAGAGCUGAACCCCCCCCUUCCCCACCCCCAGGCCCUGCUGAGACACUGAGACAUCUGCCUAUUGGGAUAUUAAUGCCAGGCCUGGAGGCUGCAGUCUGGGUGACACCACCUCUCUGCAGAGGAGCGGGAGUGCUCCCUGUGGUACACGUCAGGGUCCAUGUUCUUGUCGUGAUGGUGACCAUGUGGACAGCAGCAGCUUCCCAGCCUGGCGGCCUUCGAGUCCUUUCCUCUUGCUCUUCUGGUGAUACAAAGACUUACUUCUCUAUAAAAUGCCUUUCUGUCUGCCCCUGGAGCAGUUUCUGUUUUCUGCCUUAGACCCAAGAAACAAGUCUUCAUGUCCAUUUCAUGGAUGAAGCUCACAGAACCGAAGUGACUUGCCCCAGGUCCCACCUUAACGGAAAAGGCAGAGUUAAUACCAAAGUCAGCUUUCCCCUCCAAACCAGAGUUCUUCAGUGACAGAAUGAAAAGUAGCUGUCCCCUUAAGUCUCCCUGUCCUCCUCAACCCAGCCAGAUUAGCACACAUGUACACGUGAUGUGAACAUGUAUAAAUACAUGAGAUGGUCAUAUGUGGGUCCUGGUGCAUUUUUAUUCUGUGGGUCUCAAUACUGAAGGGUUUUGUCCCUGGACCCACCAAGAAUCCAAAUGCCCCUGCUGCCACCUCUGCACUGUGCUUCGAUUAAAGAUCUUUCCAAGGAACAAGCUUUCAUUUCAUGGAUGAUUCAGAAUCUCUGUUCGGAGGAAAUUGAGGUUUUGCUGGCCGUUUUCCCACUUGAGACGUGGUCAGAGCUCACCAUAAAAGCACAUAAAGACAAUGUAAGUCAGCUGCUAGGAACCACAAAUAAAGAAGCUGAACCAAUGAGAAAAGUCUCUGCAGGGGACGCAGCUAAGCUCUGGGUUUCCCUAGGAAGGCUGUUAAUAGCCUGUCACCUGAGGUCAGGGAGAGACCCAGCAAGCAAAAGCCAGGGAGCAGCCUGGCUGCAGGAAGCUCUGGACCUGGGUUAUCCAGCUGGGGUCCCCCUGGACCUCAGGAAGUUGUGCCCAAGCCUUCAACUGAGCAGUUUCUUCCUGAAAAUGGAAAAUCCAGUCUACCCUUAAGGAAUGAGAAGUGGCCUGGAUUGGCACCGUAAAAGGAUGUGAUGAUUAAGUUUGUCAACUUGAAUUUAGAAACACUUUAGGGGCUAGAGAGAUGUCUUAGUGGUGGUACUUACAGGACCAGGGUUCCUUUCCCAGCACUCAUACGAUGGCUUUAUGUGUAAUUCCAGUUUCAAGGACUCGGAUGCCUUCUUCUGACCCUUGUGGGAAGCAGGUGUGCAGAUGGUACACAUGCUGGCAAGAUUCAUACACAUGAAGCAAACUAAGUACAUCUCUAAAAAAAAAUUAGGAAACAUCUUAGACAUUAAUGAGGCAUACCUCUGGGUAUGUCUAUGAGGAUGUUUCCAGGGGGAUUUAACCCUAAGGAGAGAAGACAGAGGGUGACUUUGUUCCAUGAGCUGGGGAGUCCAGGGCUAAAUUAAAAAGAAAAGGAGCAAGCGGCCUGAGGACCUGAGCUCCUCACUCUGCUUCCUGACCCACCCAGAUGUGAACAAGUUCCCACGGAUGCCACUGUGCUUCCCCCACUGCCCUGACGGACAGUAUCCUCUGAACCACGAAAUAAACAUGUGGCCUCUGAA